rnacentral:rRNA from 1 species
AUUGAACGCUGGCGGCAGGCUUAACACAUGCAAGUCGAGCGGGGUGAUGGUGCUUGCACUAUCACUUAGCGGCGGACGGGUGAGUAAUGCUUAGGAAUCUGCCUAUUAGUGGGGGACAACAUCUCGAAAGGGAUGCUAAUACCGCAUACGUCCUACGGGAGAAAGCAGGGGAUCACUUGUGACCUUGCGCUAAUAGAUGAGCCUAAGUCGGAUUAGCUAGUUGGUGGGGUAAAGGCCUACCAAGGCGACGAUCUGUAGCGGGUCUGAGAGGAUGAUCGGACACACUGGGACUGAGACACGGCCCAGACUCCUACGGGAGGCAGCAGUGGGGAAUAUUGGACAAUGGGGGGAACCCUGAUCCAGCCAUGCCGCGUGUGUGAAGAAGGCCUUAUGGUUGUAAAGCACUUUAAGCGAGGAGGAGGCUCUUUUGGUUAAUACCCAAGAUGAGUGGACGUUACUCGCAGAAUAAGCACCGGCUAACUCUGUGCCAGCCGCCGCAGUAA